AAGUUGGAGCGAUAUGCUGACACAACUUAUUUUUUUUCCCUCUAGGUUCUUGCACCAUCUGAGUACUGACAACUUAUGAAGCUUGUUUGAAGUAACACUG